UACAGAGGUCUCAAGCGUUGUCCGGAAUCACUGGGCGUAAAGGGCGCGUAGGUGGCGGAGCAAGGCAACGGUGAAAGCUCGACGCUCAACGUCGAGUCGGCCGUCGAUACUGCUUUGCUUGAGCACUGUAGAGGCUAAUGGAAUUCCGGGUGUAGCGGUGGAAUGCGUAGAGAUCCGGAAGAACACCGGUGGCGAAGGCGGUUAGCUGGGCAGUUGCUGACACUGAGGCGCGACAGCGUGGGGAGCAAACAGG
rnacentral:rRNA from 1 species